rnacentral:rRNA from 1 species
ACGGGUGAGUAACACGUGGGCAAUCUGCCCUUCACUCUGGGACAAGCCCUGGAAACGGGGUCUAAUACCGGAUAUGAGCCUGGGAGGCAUCUCCCGGGUUGUAAAGCUCCGGCGGUGAAGGAUGAGCCCGCGGCCUAUCAGCUUGUUGGUGAGGUAAUGGCUCACCAAGGCGACGACGGGUAGCCGGCCUGAGAGGGCGACCGGCCACACUGGGACUGAGACACGGCCCAGACUCCUACGGGAGGCAGCAGUGGGGAAUAUUGCACAAUGGGCGAAAGCCUGAUGCAGCCGACGCCGCGUGAGGGAUGACGGCCUUCGGGUUGUAAACCUCUUUCAGCAGGGAAGAAGCGAAAGUGACGGUACCUGCAGAAGAAGCGCCGGCUAACUACGUGCCAGCAGCCGCGGUAAUACGUAGGGCGCAAGCGUUGUCCGGAAUUAUUGGGCGUAAAGAGCUCGUAGGCGGCUUGUCACGUCGAUUGUGAAAGCCCGAGGCUUAACCUCGGGUCUGCAGUCGAUACGGGNCUAGCUAGAGUGUGGUAGGGGAGAUCGGAAUUCCU